UCCUAGUCACAUACAAAAGCCUUCCACCGUUGGUCCAUUUGUGUGUUGUGUGUAUAUGCACACGUGUGUAUGCAGGACCCCAUGUGACUAUGAGUCCACGUGUGUGCUGUGUGUGAAAGCCACAGAUCGUCUUCAGGUGGUGGGGCCACCUACCUUGUUUUCUUGUUUUGUGAGACAGGAUCUUUCUGUGUGCGGGCUGGAGACCCUCCUUAUGCUAGGCGGGCAGGCCAGUGAGCUCCAGCAAGGCAUCGCAUCUGUCUCCCCUGCCCUGCGAUGGGAAGGAUACACUGCCAUUUCCACGUGGGUUCUGUGAAUUGGACUUAGGUGCACGCGUGUGUGUGUGUGUGUGUGUGUGUGUGUGUGCACUCGCGUGCUUACAAAUGUGUGUGUUCAUCCUCUGUACAUGUGGCGGGACCAGAGGCUACUACCAGGAAUCUUUCCACCUUAGUCAAGGAGACAAGGUCUCUCUACACUAAGAGAUCACCAGUAUGGCUGAUCCUGCCAGCCAGCUUUCUCCAGGGUCUCCACCUCCAUUUCCCAAGGUCAGAAUUGCAUGCAGGCCUCCAUGUCCACACAGGGGUUUCUGGGAAUUCCAAUCCUCACACUUGUGUGGCAAGUUCUUUUAAGCACCGAGCCAUCUCCCCAGACCGGUAAAUUUUCAAAACCAUUUUAGCAAAGAGGAGGGCCACACAGUCUGCAGCGGAGGAUUGUUUCACAAGAUUUGAUUCAUAAAGCACUCGACAUCAUAAAACAAACAAGCCCACAGAUACAGAAUGAAGGAUAUGGAAAGGGGAGGCCUCAGCCUCCAGUGACAGCAGGAGAGGCCUCCCCUGGCUGGUGACUUGUUAGAACAAUGGUUAGCUGCAGCACUUUCCUGCCUCUUGCGAUCUCAAGUCAACAGGACAGAGACCAACAAGAAAGACAGGACCAGCUGUACAAUAGGGACUUCUCAUCAGGAAUGUAACAUAGGGAGACCUUUUGGCCUCAGUGGACACUAUUCCUUGGCUUUUUGUGGGGCCGCGGCACCGGGUGUAGUCUAGACCUGCUCUGAGAGACUGGAGGAGGCUGCUGAUGUUGUAGAUGACACAAGACGCAGCUGCUGAGCAACCCUUCUGUGCUUAGCAGAGAAAACUCCCAGGUGGCUGAGGCAUCGUCUUUGUGACUCACUGCAAACGCUGCCUCUUUGGAAGGAAGGAGGAACAAUUUCUCUGAAUUCCAGGACCUCACACUGCUAAGGCUUCUCCUGAGCUCCAUGCUCUCCGUCCAGCCUCUCUCUCUCCCAAUUGCUGAAGACGACCUGUGCACCACAGCAGCUUCUAAGAGGCGAUUAUUUCAUUGUUUUCUGAGAAACACCCCACCCCAAUACACCAGUCUUUUUUUCUACAAGGGAAGUUAUUGGCUUCUGGAGUGUUCUGAUUUGUAAUCACUAAACAUCUGUGCCCUUCCCUAUCAGAUUUUAACUUAAAAUUCACUCCUUUGCUUUUUUAAAGAACUAAGUUCUUCCUAUUGUUCCCAAGAAAAUGCUUUUAAGUAAUUCAGGCUGGGGAUAUAGCUCAACAGAGGAGUACUUGCCUAGCUUAAGCAAAGCCCUGGAUUGAUCUCCAGUAUACAUGCACACACCACACUCAGAUACACACACACACCAC